AACGAACGCUGGCGGCAGGCUUAACACAUGCAAGUCGAGCGCCCCGCAGGGGGAGCGGCAGACGGGUGAGUAACGCGUGGGAAUCUACCCAUCUCUACGGAAUAACGCAUGGAAACGUGUGCUAAUACCGUAUACGUCCUUCGGGAGAAAGAUUUAUCGGAGAUGGAUGAGCCCGCGUUGGAUUAGCUAGUUGGUGGGGUAAAGGCCUACCAAGGCGACGAUCCAUAGCUGGUCUGAGAGGAUGAUCAGCCACACUGGGCCUGAGACACGGACCAGACUCCUACGGGAGGCAGCAGUGGGGAAUAUUGGACAAUGGGCGCAAGCCUGAUCCAGCCAUGCCGCGUGAGUGAUGAGGGCCCUAGGGUUGUAAAGCUCUUUCACCGGUGAAGAUAAUGACGGUAACCGGAGAAGAAGCCCCGGCUAACUUCGUGCCAGCAGCCGCAGUAACAC
rnacentral:rRNA from 1 species